AGGCACUUUGUGUCAAAGCCAAAAUGUUCAAUUCUUGUCGCCUCGGACCGGAGAACCUUUUCUACACGUUUACCGAGUCAGCAAGAUGUCUACACCAACGUGCAGCUGAUCACUCCGCCAUAAAACACAACUUUGUGGAGUGUCCAGGUUGUGGAUCUCUACAGCGACCUUCAGAGUCACCCUUGACCUCUUGGUUUCUUCUCUGACAAAUUACUGACUUAAUGUCGCUGCACAGGAUGACUGAUAUUUUCCCGGAAUUGUUUUGAUCGCGCUCUGGUUUUGGUGAUGCUGUUUGUUUAGGUGUGUUCUCUGUAAGACUUUGGGUUCUCUGAGGAACAGGUGUAUUUAUACUGAGAUCACGUGACGCUUUAAUUACUAUAAUUAUGCCACUUCUAAUGGUAACUAACUGCACCAGGAUGAAUUUAGGGGUUUUUAUAUUACAACAUAUAUACAACGUGUGAAAAACGUUCGUGGGAGGGUGAACACUUACGCAAGGCACUGUAUACGUACAUUAUCACAAAGUCAGCAAUGCCAAAUGCUAUGCAAAAAAAGAAUUUUCUAUUAUAUUGGUAUCGAAACGCUUAUACUGAAAAAAAAAUAUCGCUUUUGUAUGAAUGAGCUCGAAGCUUCUGGUGUUUGAGUUAUCGCUUGAGCAUUUCGGAGCUGCGAGUACCGAGGCAGCGCAGACCAACAGCCAUGCUAAAGUGUUGCCUUCUUUCGGAGAGUGCACUGAAGAAAAGAAAAAAAAAAGAUCGCUUUUUAAAAACAACUUUUGGGUCUAUUUGUUAUAGCUUGAAGCCAUUUUGAAGUACCGGGCUGAACCUUUGCAUUGCGCCGUCUAGUGGCAGCUUUUAUAACUUUUGCUCUUUAAUACUCGCAGUAUGUGGAGUAAAGGAGGUCGGGUUGCAGUUAUGACUUUCAAAAUCACUUGUAUAUAGGCUGUGUGUGCUUUCGCUUUAACGUCCGAGAGAAAUAAACGUCGUGCUACGAUGCUACGCUAACGAACGUGCAGCUAAAGAAACGCGUACGCGAGCGUUUCUGCAUUUCUUUCCCCUCGCCCCAUCCCCUCAUCUCUUACCCUCUUCGUGUGUAGCUUUGCUUCGACGUAAUCUUUUUACAUUGUAGUGAUAUGAAUCGCUUCUAAACUUAUUGAUCAUUAAGACAUUCCGCCUUGCUGGAGCACAGCACGCACAGAGCUUUUCACAAGCUGUAAUUUGUUGACAUUCUUUAAAAGAAAGGCUUGAUUUUUUUUGUUUGUUUGUUGUUUUUUUUCACCCUCCGUGCUACCAUGGAAACAAAUCGACAUGAGUUUCUGUCAGAGUUAGAAAGGAAGAAUGAAAGAGUAAACAAAAUACGAGCCGAGAUGACCCUGAGCCUGAAUAAGAGAAGAGCAGAGAUUGAAUAAUUGCGUGUAUUCUAUGUGACAGACACGAGACAGAGAUUUUAAAGGGAAAAAAGAAGAAAGUAAGUUAAAAGAGAGAGAGAGAGAGAGAGAGAGAGAGAGAGAAGUGAUUAUGGCAAAUGGCAAAAAAUAGUGAUUGUCAGUUAUGGAGCAAAAGUUUGUACCCCCUCCAAUAUAGAAAACAGUCUAUUUUUCUUGUCUAUUUUUUAUUUACAUACAAAAAAUUCUGGAACAAGACGGGAAUUUAAAAUGAGCGAAUAUCUGAGGAACCAAGUGAAUACAAAAGCUUUACAGGUGAUUAGAAAGAGGUAAAGAGGAAAAAAAAAAACAUGCAAGACAUUCAUGUUUGAUCAGAGUCUCGUGGCUUCAAAACGUCUUCAUUUUGUCCUAAGGGGAUGCAAACUUUUGCACUUAGUGAUAGAUAGAUAGAUAGAUAGAUAGAUAGAUAGAUAGAGGGGUGGAAAUUUGGUCUAAAAAAUGUUAUACACAAUGAAUUGUGUGUAACACACAGCAGCUCUGACACACUGUACGAAUGCCUUCUGGAUUUGGUUCUGAGGAUGUGUUCAGUAUGGAGUGAGACAGUUUCUCUCAGUGGUCUGCUUGUUUCCGCUGGAGUGAAACGUGAUUCUCUCAACCUACAGCUCACGCUGAUAUAAAAUACCGUCACAGAUCCACUUUAAGAAGCAGCAGCUCCACUAGCAGGAGCAGGAGUGGACCAAUCAUAGUGUAAUGUCAUUACAAAUGCGGGAAGACACGACUUAAUGUGAUGAUGUUCAACAGUGCUUAUUUAAUAAGAAGUGCUAGUCCCUUGUUCACUUUAUGGGGCGGGAUUUCAGCAGGAUCAGGGGGCUAGAGACUUCAGAGUGGGAAGCGAGAGCUCAGAGUGAGUUCGAGAGCGAGAGCAGCGAGCUAUAUUUCUCUGUUAUGUACGGCGUGGCUUGCGGCCAAAACAGUAACCCUGUAGUUCUUUAAUAAAGUCUCAGAACGAGAAAGAACCCGCCUGGUUACUACUAGUAGCGAAACGCUACAAUAUUAUUAACUAGCCCACCAAAUCGCUCCAGAAUCCUGCCCUAGUCCCAGGUUUUGCGCGGAAAUCUAAAUGACGAGGCUAAAAAGUGGAAACUAACACAAUAUAAUAACAUAUCGUGAGCUAACAAACUUUAUAACGUAGCACAGUGUGUUUGUACCUUCAUCAAAACAUUUCGGCUAGGAGGUGCGGUGUUCUGUUCCUGCAUCACUCUUAAAAUGAUAUUUGACCCUGGCUGUCGUCUUUAUGUUUCCUCAGUGUGUUUAACCAUGAGGUGACGGUGUAAUAAUCAGUGGAGUUUUACAUUCGAUUUUAUUUCACUCGGUAUCAUCAGUGUUUCCACAUACACUGGAAAAAAUGAAAACUUAUUAACUAUUAUUAUUCUACCUUUUCUCUUCUUCUUCUUCCUCUUCUUCUUCUUCUUCUUCUUCCUCUUCUUCUUCUUCUGGUGAGGGUGUCUAGGGCAGCCCAUAGAACCGUCUGGUAAAAAGUUGUGAAAUUUGGCACACUGAUUGGGGAGGUAUUACAAAACAUUCGGACCAAAUUUGGCCAAGUGCAGCCAACGCUUUAGCGCCACCAUCCGGUCAAAUGUGGAAGUACUCUUAUGAUCAUAACGUUUGAACCACGUGUCCAAAGAUUUCACAGCCAGGCACCUCUGGAUUCCCUGGAAUAUCAGGAACCCUGAUAUUCAAAACAGUUCUCCCGUAACGGACUGGCCGCUCCGAGAAACCACAAAUCACUCUUGAAUCCCUUUGCCUAUAGUUAUGGAUCUGCUUUCCUGUUAUUGCUUAUGCAACAAGUAGCAUGUCUGUGAAUGUGUGGCUCACCGAGUCUGAGUGCUUGGCUCCCGAAAAUACAUUUUUUUUUUUAGUUUGUUUUGCUCAACUGAAAAAAAAAAACAGUCACAACGUGAUUUUUUUUCUUUGUUUGUUCGUUGUUGUCUGAUCCAAGGUCAGUUUUGUCAGCGUACUUGCGUGUUCCUAAUUUUGAGAUUUUGAGUCGAUCGUCCCUCGUGCGUUCAUGCUAAUUAAUCCAGCCAGUAAAAGCCAGUGUGUGUAGUGCAGAAGGUCGUGGGAUUCAGGUGCGACACAUCACCAUGGAGCGUAUUACAUCUUAAACGCUGGGAAUGAAAACGUUUCUUUUGCGAACAUCGGUAAGAAGUAGGUAGGGUUUAUUUUUCUUUUAUUUGUCUAAAUUGUAGUUCGGGAAACUAGGAGUAAAUACAACAAAUAAACUGGGCAUGAAAUCUGUUCCAGGAUACUGAUUUGUCCACUCAUGACUAUACUUCUAUACACAUCAGAUCAUGAUGUCCGAUUUCCUGUCAAAAAAAAAGAAAAACCCCUCUAUUAAUUUUGUGCCUAUAGGUAAAUAGAUAGAUAGAUAGAUAGAUAGAUAGAUAGAUAGAUAGACAGAUAGAUAGAUAGAUAGAAAGGUAGAUAGAUAGAUAGAUAGAUAGAUAGACAGAUAGAUGGAUAGAUAGAGAGAUAGAUAGAUAGACAGAUAGAUAGAUAGAUAGAUAGAUAGAUAGAUAGAUAGAUGCCAGCGAGAAAGUGAUUGAAGCACAUGUGAUUUAUACCCUACAACUUCUUUCCGGUUUAUAACCUCUUAUCAUAUGUCUGUUAUAAUAACACAGGCCCACACACACUCACACACACACACACACACACACACACACACCGUGCUAAAGUGCUAAAGUGAAAAGGUUCCGCAAUUGUACUGAAAUCAUUACAUAAUGAGUUUAAUGAAAUUAUUACUAGAAUGCCAGUGAAAGAGAACCGGAGAACCGGCUGCCACGAGCAGGAAGAAUGACUGACAGGCUCACGGGGAAAAUAAAGACGGUUCAUUACGUCGCACAGGGUUGUGUUGUUUCCUUUGUUCUUCUUUUUAAAAACUAAUAAUUAUUUCAGUGAUGUACAUUUGUCAUGUAAUAUGUCUGAAGCAAUAAAACUCAUGGCUGAUAUGUCGACUGAUUGGUGUUAUUUAAAAAAUUUUUUUUUUUAAAUUCC
ensembl:lncRNA